AGCUCCUUGAACUUUAAACAGCAUGUCUACUAAACCGGACUGCAAAGUGAGGCUCAAACUCAAGGCAAGCACACAAUUCUUCUGAGAAAGUAGCCAUUUUCUUGAGUAACUGCCAUUUUAUCCUAAAAAUACAUCUUUACAUGUCUCUGGUACAGAUUAGUUUUACACUGAAAUACAAAAUGACUGAGUUUUUCACUGGAAUCCUUGAAAUCCACCCCCCAAUACUUUCACCAGUGUCUGACUGGUACAUUUUUUGAAGCAUCUCAUAGUGCUUCCAAAAGCCUAUGA